UACGGAGGGAGCUAGCGUUGUUCGGAUAUACUGGGCGUAAAGCGCACGUAGCGGCGCCGUAAGUCAGGGGUGAAAUCCCGGAGCUCAACUCCGGAACUGCCCCUUGAAACUGCAGUGCUAGAAUCUUGGAGAGGCGAGUGGAAUUACCGAGUGUAGAGGUGAAAUUCGUAGAUAUUCGGAAGAACACCAGUGGCGAAGGCGACUCGCUGGACAAGUA
rnacentral:rRNA from 1 species